GACGAACCGUGCGAACGUUAUUCGGAAUCACUGGGCUUAAAGCGCGUGUAGGCGGCCCGGCACGUCCGUCGCUGAAAUCCCCCGGCUCAACCGGGGAAGGGGCGCGGAUACGACCGGGCUGGAGGGGGGUAGGGGGCGCCGGAACUCACGGUGGAGCGGUGAAAUGCGUUGAGAUCGUGAGGAACGCCCGUGGCGAAAGCGGGCGCCUGGACCCCGCCUGACGCUGAGACGCGAAAGCCAGGGGAGCGAACGGG
rnacentral:rRNA from 1 species